GACGAACGCUGGCGGCGUGCUUAACACAUGCAAGUCGAACGGAAAGGCCCUGCUUUUGUGGGGUGCUCGAGUGGCGAACGGGUGAGUAACACGUGAGUAACCUGCCCUUGACUUUGGGAUAACUUCAGGAAACUGGGGCUAAUACCGGAUAGGAGCUCCUGCUGCAUGGUGGGGGUUGGAAAGUUUCGGCGGUUGGGGAUGGACUCGCGGCUUAUCAGCUUGUUGGUGGGGUAGUGGCUUACCAAGGCUUUGACGGGUAGCCGGCCUGAGAGGGUGACCGGCCACAUUGGGACUGAGGUACGGCCCAGACUCCUACGGGAGGCAACAGUGGGGAAUAUUGCACAAUGGGCGGAAGCCUGAUGCAGCAGCGCCGCGUGCGGGAUGACGGCCUUCGGGUUGUAAACCGCUUUCGCCUGUGACGAAGCGUGAGUGACGGUAAUGGGUAAAGAAGCACCGGCUAACUACGUG
rnacentral:rRNA from 1 species